CACCCCUUACAUUCUGUCAACCCACAAGACUGUUAUCACAUCAACUGGCUACACACGGAGUGAUAGACAAACUUGCGCACCACACAGACAGACGCGCAAUAUCCUGAAAAGUAUUUGGUAGAUAUUUUGUUAGUGGCUAACCAGAUGUUUGAAAAAUGUCAAUGUUGCGUUGAUUAGAUAGUAGCUGGGAGCUUGCGGUGUCGGAUAGUUGUGAGAUUUGUUUAUGACAGUUUGCGAUGGAACACGUGAAAAUGUGCAUGUAUUUUUGGAAUUGUUUGGCGAGCUACUCAUAGGUGGACUGCGAGCUACUGCACUUCACUGAUGGAAAGCCAAGCGAAAUAUGUCCUAACUCUGUAGAUGCGGGGAGCACAUGCCUGGAACAACAUCCUUCAGAUGCCCUCCAAACAAAAGGGUUGCUUGGGGUCUCUGUCUGCGACAAACAAGGGAGCGACGCUCACCCAAAACAUCCACCAAACAGAGGCAGGUCUGUCUGUCUGUCUGCACAGGGAGUAAAAAACACCAAAAUCACAUUAAUCCCAUCAGCUGCCUGGGCCUGGCUCGUCACGAGGAAACUCAAGAAGUGGUGUCCCAAAUGGGACCCUAUUCCCUAUAUAGUGCAUUACUUUUGACCAGGGCCCAUAGGGCUCUGGUCAAAUGUAGUGAACUAUGUAGGGAAUAGGGUGCCAUUUGGGACACAGACAGACUUAGAGCCCCCCCCCACCCUCCAACUCAAUUACCCCUGGGUGUUGUGAAGGUCACCACAGGAUCUGGGUGUUAAGGAGACAGACUGCAGUGCAGUGGGUUUGUUCAGGACAUGACUAGGCAAAGUUAAGAGCCAGACUCUAUUGGUUGUAAAUUUGUACAUUUAAGGUUAACUGCUCCUUAGAACCAACUUCUGUGGUUUUAAACAGCCUAUGUCACAUCGAUAUGAGUCAGAAACAUUAAUUCUAGUGUCAAAAUGGACUACAAAGUGUAUAUAGGAUAAAGGAUAUAGGAUAAAUAUAUAGGAUAAAGUCAGUCUGGUCCAAACCUGAGUUUUGUAAGUGAGUUCGUCACGGCUUACUGGCGAUUUAGGGCAGAUGGCCAGGAUAUGGAUUAGCGUUACAUCUGACUAACUUCUACAUGGGCUGUCAACUGUCAAACCUGAAACUGGUGUGUUGCUAUGUUUUGUUAGCUAGCUACAUGUCAUUAUUUGAUAGGCUAUGCCGCUAUGAUACUAGGCUAUGAUACUGUGAUGUACCUAACUAGCUAAAUACAUAGCCUAUACCUAACAUGUAAUGUGAGAGGAAGAUUUGCAUAGCUAACAUUGUACCUGAAGACAGGUUUGAUCCCUGCCAACUAGAGGUAGCUAGAUAGUUCAUAAUCAAGCAAACCUGACAACAUGUUUGAUGCAUGUCGCCAGCUUGCUUUCAGUAAUGUUUCAACUCAAACAGGCUAGCAACUGUAAGAUCCCUGCUAAAUAAUCAAGCAAACUAGCUACCCACUGGGCACACUGGUUGAAUCAAUGUUGUUUCCAUGUCCUUUAAAUUAUGUUGAACCAACGUGAAAUAGACGUUGGUGUCUGUGCCCAGUGGAUAGCUAGCAUUUGAGGACUUCAGCUGACCCCAAAAAAUAUGCCAACAAACAACAACAUUAUUGUGUAUUUUCUAUGUAAAAAAAACAACAACAACAAAUCACCAGAGAAGGAGGCUGGGGCAAAACACAAGUCUCUUUUCAGAGUAAUGGAGGACACAACCACCAUUGAUAAUGUAAUCAGUACUGUGUGUGUUUGUCUUGUAUGUUGUAAGGAGGUGCCCCCCCCCAUCCAUGGUGCUGCAAUGGACUACUCCUGGACCAGGGAGCUGGGUUGGAUCUUUAAGUCAGACUCCUUCAUGACUAGUAUCUGUGAUGAGAGGGGCCUGGAUCUAUUGCCGCCUACAAACACCUCAGAAGGGACAAAAAGUGAUUACUAAUAAGACAGAACAUCACAAGUGUUUAGUAAUCUCAGAAUCAGCUUUACCUUAACUUCAAAAACGCGUAGUCUCAAAUAGCCGCCUGUCCCUUUUAAUAGCCGGACAAUGUCACACAUUUCAGGUAAAAAUAAACGCCUGUUUCAAAUAAACGCCUGGUCUAAAUGAAUUGUUUACAAGGGUACCAUGAAUUGUUUGAGGUUUAAUGUUUGAUUUGUUACAUUAAAUAAUUCAGUAAUUACUCAAAUUAUGGCAAUCAUGCGUUUGUAUCGCCAGUAAGAAACUGUUAGCCAUUAGCAGCUAACAACUGCUAGCUAACCGGCAAGUAAAAAACAGUCAACAAGUUCAGGAGUACCGACCCCUAAAAACUGUAAUAUCGUCCUAUAGUAAGAACGGAUUAAAAGGGCACAGUCAAAAGAGGAUAAUAAUUAUUCUGUCAUGGAAAAGUUUUUAAAUGUUUUUAUAAAGGCAUACUAAGACAAAAGAAAUGUGACAGUGUGAAAAUUAUUACACAUGGUGCAGGAAAUGAUUAAAUUGACAAAUGCUGGAAGUGGAUGUUGGAAAUAAACAAUUAACUAUGCAAAUUAACAAUUGUGUAACGAGUGCGCUGAGAGUCGGGAAGCAAGUACAGGGAGUGAGUGUUUUAAUAAAUAAACAAACCAAUAAACAUGAAACACAAACAACGCAAUUACACCUGAGGAAAGAACCAAGGGGAGUGACAGAUAUAGGGAAGAUAAUCAAGGAGUUGAUGGAGUCCAGGUGAGUGUCAUGAGGCGCUGGUGCGCUUGACGAUGGUGACAGGUGUGCGGGAUAAUCAGCAGCCUGAUGACCUAGAGGCCGGAGAGGGAGUAUACGUGACCCAAAAGCUUUGUGCAUUAAGGAAGUAGACACCUGGCUCAAAUGGAAGGCUGUCUCUACGCCUGUUGUGUUCAGUGAUUUAAGCAAAUAAACGCCUGGGCUGGUAAUAGAUUUUUUUGAGGGGUAUUUACCAAACACAUUUGCAUGUACAGGAAUUUGUUGUUAUUUUGUCCCUAUAUUCAUUGUUUUUGGCUAGAUUUGUUUUGGAAGGUGGUGUAACCUGAACAUCGCUAGUUCAAGCCCCAUGUGAAAAGCGGCAAUUUUUGUUUUUGGUUGGUUUGGUUAUAUGACGGCUAAAGUCAGGAUUUUGACAAGAUAAGUCACUCAAGUUAUAAUUCCAUAUCUCUGUCAAAGUCCAAAUCUGACGUUAUAGGCAUGUUGGACAAACGUCUAAUAAUGCAGUGAGUUGAUGAGAUCUUAUUGCCCUCAGCUGUAAGCAAGCAACUCAAAGACUACUACAAUCAUUACAUUAUUUAAGUGCACUCAAAAAGUCGUGUCAGAAUGUAAUAGAGUUUAGAUUAAUUGGAACAGUGAUUAUUGUAAGUCAGUGCUUCUACAUCUUUACUUUUGUUCCUCUGCUAAAAUAUGAAAUACAAAGUUGGUACAUUCGGCUCGAAGGACCAAUCCACUUUUUUACUGUUUUGUCUUCAUAAAACUUGCUCCAACACCGUCUAUGGCAAACUUCACACCUUGGAUCACACAUCCUCAGCAUCACUAUAGCAUCUAAGCAAUACUGGCGGAAUCAAAAUCUCACAAACACUGACAAACACUUACUCGAUUAUGUUCUCGGGGAAAGGUAUGAGAUAUGAAACAAGUGUGAGUGGCGGGAACCAGGUCCAAAUUCAAAGAUGCCGGGUGUAGGCGCACUCCCACGAAAUUAACCAGUGUGUCACGUCCUGACCUUAGUUCCUUUUUUAUGUCUCUAUUUUAGUUUGGUCAGGGCGUGAGUAGGCGUGGGCAUUCUAUGUGUUGUUCUAUGUUUUUGUAUUUCUGUGUUUGGCCUGGUAUGGUUCCCAAUCAGAGGCAGCUGUUUAUCGUUGUCGCUGAUUGAGAACCAUACUUAGGCAUCCUGUUUUCCCACUAUGGGUUGUGGGUAGUUGUUUUCUGUCUUUGUAUUAGUUACCAGACGGAACUGUUUCGUUUGUUCUUUUUGUUUACUUUGUAUUGUAGUGUUCAGUUCAGUUUAAUAAAAUGACGAACACUUACCACGCUG